ensembl:sense_intronic Gm17193 predicted gene 17193
ACUUUAAAAGAAAUUUUUAAAAAUAUAUAUGAGUCUUUUCCUGCAUGUAUGUCUGUGCACCUUGUCUCAUCUUUUAAAAAUUACAAUGUUGAAAUUCAUAGAGCAGCAAGUAGUUAUGAAGAGUAGUAGUUAAUAUUUAUUUAUCAAGUAUUAUUGAUAUUAAUUGACUAAUGAGUAUUUGCAUAAUAUAUAGUCUUCAUAUUUAAGUGAAUUAUAAAGUAUAUUUGUUUAGGGAUGUGUGAACUAUGAGCUGUGUACUGAGAUACCAGAGAAACUGCAGUGAAGAAGACAGAAGUCCCUCCGGGCUCUAUGCUAGUGAAAGACACAGAAUGGGUCAUAUUAAAGUCACGUGUGUUUACAUAUCUGUAGUGUCACAGUGUGAGAACAUGUGCAUGUAUUUACAUAUCUAAGUAAUGGUGAUUUCACAUUUUGUAUCAGCCCAAAGUUAGCUCUAAGAUGGUUAAAUACCAUUUUUUUUGUUUUGUUUUGUUUUUUCGAGACAGGGUUUCUCUGACAGCCAGGGCUAGAGAGAAGCCCCAUCUCAAAACACAGAAACAAAACAAAACAACAACAAAAGAGAAACUUUAAAAUGUGUAAGGAAACCGUUAGUGUCAGUAUCAUCAGGUGAUGCUGUGUAAUUCUUCCUCGGCUAGAGAACAGUCAAGCUUCUGUGAUUCUCAUCACCGGCAGUGCC